CCUACGGGAGGCAGCAGUGAGGAAUAUUGGUCAAUGGACGAGAGUCUGAACCAGCCAAGUAGCGUGAAGGAUGACUGCCCUAUGGGUUGUAAACUUCUUUUAUAUGGGAAUAAAACGUUCCACGUGUGGGAUUUUGUAUGUACCAUAUGAAUAAGGAUCGGCUAACUCCGUGCCAGCAGCCGCGGUAAUACGGAGGAUCCGAGCGUUAUCCGGAUUUAUUGGGUUUAAAGGGAGCGUAGGUGGAUUGUUAAGUCAGUUGUGAAAGUUUGCGGCUCAAUCGUAAAAUUGCAGUUGAAACUGGCAGUCUUGAGUACAGUAGAGGUGGGCGGAAUUCGUGGUGUAGCGGUGAAAUGCUUAGAUAUCACGAAGAACUCCGAUUGCGAAGGCAGUUCACUGGACUGCAACUGACACUGAGGCUCGAAAGUGUGGGUAUCAAACAGGAUUAGAUACCCUAGUAGUC
rnacentral:rRNA from 1 species